AUUUAUUAUAAUUCUUUUGAAGAAACGCACUGGAGAUGAAAAAUGUUUUAUUUAGAACGAUUCACAAUUUUUCCAUAUUUUAAAUAUUAACAACGUUCGUAUUUUCGAUUUCAUAUCUUUUUUCAACAGAAGCCAAUCGUAUGCAAGAGCGACGCGUUAAGCUGAAAUAACAAUUUCAAUAUUUUCUAUCUGGUUCGAGUUUUCAGUUGCAAUUUAACUAAGCCCUUUCGCAUCUUUCAGCAUUUUCUCGAAAGUAUCGCGACGUGAAAAAAAGCAUAGAGUGCUUUCUUUAAUCUCGAAGCGUAUCCUGCGGCAAAUCGAUUGGAAAAAAAAGGAGAAAAAAGAAAGAAAGAAAGGAAGGAAGAAAGAAAGAAGGGAAUCAUCGAUUCAUUCGUAACUGGUAAAGUGCUUGAAAGUGGAAAAUCGGUCAUAUCCCCGCGGACAAAUCGAUAAUAUCUGAUAUCAUAAUUAAUGUAAUGUAUCUGUGGUAAUAGGAACAUGAUGACGGUGAAUGCAGAUACGUACAGUUUCCUUUAUGUGCAAACAUUGCGUAAAUUGAUAAGGCAAUUAGCACGUAUAGUCUAUAGAAGCAACGUUGGUUGCGUCGUUGACACGAUCUCUCACGGCCGUGAAAGAAACCCUUCGACCUCUUGUAAUUACGCGUGACACAUACGAUCGAUACCAGCUGUGCUAUUUCGACCGUUCACCGAAAUGGAAUGAAAGAAUUUCUCUUAAUUUCUUCAUCAAAGAAAUGUUCCUUUUCGAAGAGCGAGUAUAAUUAACGUGAAGGAUAUAAACUGACGAAUUAACGGAUGCCACAUUACCAGUACUCGUACGGAUAAUUUAAACGCUCAUGCGGAUUCUCUACGCUCGAACAAAUUAUAAACGUUGAUCCCUUUGAGAACCGCUAAAUUAUCGCUUCUCUAUCUAACUUUCCACAGUUUAUUCGGGCACGCGAUCCGUAGAGCAAAGUACUCCGGUUAACGUUUAUUUUAUCAUCUUGUCGACACUUUGGUAGGACAGAGAAAAGACUACGCCGUAUAAAAAUUAAAAAUUAAUGCCGCCGUUGACGGUAUACUCUGAGAAAUGUAACUGCAUUUUUAAAGACGAGAACACGAUGCUGCGUGAACUAUGUAUUUACUGUUAGUCUUCUUUCAUUCUGGAAAUCCCAAAGACGCAAUGCGCGAUUUUACAUGCGACUUAAUGCUCCUUACAAAUUCGAAAUUUGGUAUAAAUAUUCUUCGUCCGACAAGAAGAAAAGUAGAAACGAUAUCAUUAGCUUCGUACUAAUCGAUAUUUCACGGCACGAUUACUCGACUUGCGAUCGACUGGAUUUCAAGUUCGAAGGAGACACGAUAAUUAUGUCACGUAGCAGUAAGUAGGUGGAUCGUAUUUCAGAUAAUUAUAUGUAUGCGUUCGAGGCGAAAGAUCCCAGCGUUUGGAGAUCGUACGACGACGACAAGAAAAGACAGGCUAAUUACAGGAGAAGGAUUAAAAGAAAAGAAAAAAAUAAAUUAUGCGCUGAAUUAACAGUCACGUGUCAUUAUUUAAAAUAUUCCACACGAUGAAGGAAAGCGAAAAAGAGAAGCUACCUUCUUUAAUUUAUUUUAUAUUUCUUUUGCGAUACUUUCACGUUGCAAAAUUCGAUCAUAAAUUUAUUAGUCGAUGUUUCUUAUUAGAUAUAAUCUUAUAAUUAAAGUUUAUAAAUAAGAAAGCUCUCCUAAGCUCUAAUCGUAAUAAUAAUGCAAGAGAUUAACGAGAGUUUAUAUAGCACGACGAAAGGCGUUAGAAACUCACCCGACUCGUUAAAGCAUCAUCAUCCUAGAGAUAGUUCACAGCUUUCAGUUAUGAUCGAAAUUUUGAAAAGAGCUUUGAUCUUGAUUCUUCCCAUAGAGAUUCGCGUUUUUGAACGUUCUUCCUCGCAUAUUCCAUACCGGAGGGAGAUGGAACGAUGAAAAGACAUUGCGAGAUCCACGAUUUACACCAAGGAGAAUGAGAAGAAUGAAAAAGAAAGGAAGAAAGGAAGAAAGAAAGAAAGAGAGAAAGCAAGCGAAAGGAGAACUUUGAUAGUUGUAGAAUCGAAGCUCUGUUCGUUCGUUCGUUCGACGAAGAGACGCUCGUAAAGCUUGCGUUUACAGUCGAGAAAGAGCCACUCGAGAAGCUCCUUGGAGUCACUCGUUAAGUUCAUUAAUGUGGAAAAAGGAAAACGAGAUCGGUCUUUACUUUUCGUGUCGCCUAAGGAAGUGCAGGAGGAAGAAGACGAAGGAUGCAAUAGAGUUAGGUCGAGAUAUUUACUCAGGUCCUGAACACGAUUCCUUUUUAAUCAUUUCUCUUUGCUAUCCCUUUGGACCACGAUGAGAAAUGAUAAGAGACCUCGACAGUUCCCUUCCAAGCGUAUUUACUGUAUUAUCACUACAUCUUGCAACGUCUAUUAUUUGCCGGAAAGCGAAAGGAGAACACGAGGAGGAGGAGGAGGAGAAGGAAGAGGAGAAAAAGGAAAACAAAGAAGAUGAAGAAGGAGCAGAAGAGAUCGUCGAGAUUUUAAGACAAGAUUCAAGACGUUGCUUUCUCCGUCGUCGUCGUCGUCGUCGUCGUCGUGGUCGUCGUCGUCGUGGUCGUCGUCGUCGUGAUCGUUAAAACUUAUACCGUAGCUUACCGCAACUAGUAGGAAAUACAUUCUAAAAGCGAUUAAAGGAAAAUGUAUAUUCCCUGGAUAAGAUUUCGAGAAGAAAUGGAAAAGUGGAGGAGGAGGAGAAGGAAGAGGAAAAAACGAUGAAAGGAAGGAAAUAUUUUUUGAGGAGUUGCUACUUCUCGAUUGUUUUACCACGUCCAAGCAUUCUUCAUCGAACUGGAACGAAGAUUUUCUCUCUUUUUAUAUCUCUUUCGUUUAGGGAUCAAAAGAUUAGUGGUUUGUGAUGAUGAACGCGCGGAAAUAACACACGCUAAAUCCGUCAAAUAGUAAAAAGCUGCGCAACAAGAUUUGGCCUCUUCGCGUGAAAACGCUACAACCCUUUUUAAGAUGCCACUUCCCACGGUCAUUAAAACUUGCGAAGGCGACACGAACAAUACCCACGAUGCACGUUGAAAAAUUGCGAGAAAAUCACCGACGUUCCUCUCUUCGUCAUCGCGUGCCAUGUCACGAACAUUCUUUUGAGAAUCGAUUAAUCUUAAUAAACCGUUGCUAAAUAUGCGA